rnacentral:other from 1 species
GGUUCCCUGGAGUGUUCGCCAGUCGAUAUGUCCUCGACCCUUUAUGCGACACCCAGGAGGUCUUUUUUUAUGGCCUAUGUGCAUGUCCGCGAGUCGGAACGCCUUUGUUCAUAUGGAGACCACCGCCUUGAACCGCAGGGUUCAAGGGCCUAUCCGAACAGCGGCAUUUUGGGGAACCU